UAUCGUGUUCUUGUUUGUGUGUGUGAGAUUUGUGAAUAAAAAGGCUGCUUGAGUCACUUCUCAAGCCGUUAAACUUCUCUCAAAAAAUAUAAAAAUGUUUUAAAAUAAUCCUGAAAUUCUCGUCGGCGUUGGCUUCCUGAGCGAUGAAGAGUCGGUUCAACUGAUUCAGUUCAUUCAUUCAAACCAUCGAAGUAGGAUAAGCGGCUUUGGUAAUGAUUCUUUAAAUGAACCGAUUCAGAAUCCUCUUCUUGAAUCGUUUGAGUCGUUCUCACUCGGUCAGGGUUGCACGUGUGGGUUGCUUUUCCUGCACGUGUAAUCAGCACGUGUUCACAGACCGUAAAUCCCGACCCCAUGGUAGACACUCGACAGAAAUUUCAUACUAAAGUAUUUUAUAUUUUCUGGGUCUAAACAGAGCAGAAGUAAUGCUAAUGUGUUCUACAGAUUCUAUUGGACUGGUGAACUGUGUGGAUUUGUAUAUUUAACCCAGUUUAAUAUGGCCUGCUUUGUUCAGUCAGAGACAAGUAAAUCUGUUCUAAUGCUCAUUUAUUUUCCAUAGAUAAAACAAAUGUUUGCUUACACAUGAAUACGUACUUUAUGCCUUCAGAAUGGUGGAGAUUUGUCUCUUGACUAUUUUAAAUUUGGUUCUCUUCAACAGGUUGUGUUCGAGUUGUGCAGGCUUGUGUCACCUGACUUAAAGAAGGCAUUGUUUGAAGGGCUUGAUCAGCACCUCCCACGGCUCCUGCAGUUGUACAACACCGAGAGGCAGUGAAAUACCCGAAAUCCAACAUGUGAUGACCCGUAUUGAUCAAGAGACAGGAGCCUGUGGUUUCCUACUCUGAACGCUGUUCGAGCCAUGUCGACUUCAGGAGGCCCCACUCCACCCUUCACCACCCUGUCGGUCACCCACCCAGCCAAUCACAUCACUCCUGUAGAGCUGCACCGACCAGAGAAACGCAACGCCAUGAACUAGGCCUACUGGAGGCACGGAUGCUGAUCACAAAGGAGAGCCUGAUGACCACGAUCGUCCGCACAUUCGAUGAUCACCUGAGACAUCGAGACCAGCAGGGACAAUUUCAGUUUUAACUCUACAGUGCACAAAAGGUCUUUAAAUUCCGCAGGGUCCAGAGUCUUAUAGAAGACCUCAAGUACGGCUGGAAAAAAGCAGAAUGUGUUACACUGUCUGUCAGAGAAUAUCAUUAUUAAUGAUAAUUAAUAGCUAAUCAUUCUCAUUAAACUUUUUUUUUUAAACUCAGAUAUGUCCUGAUUAGCCGUUCAACAGAGUGGACCGACAAGCUCAGGGAGAAGUUUCUGGAAGGACUUGAUGCUUUCUUGGAGCCGCUCAAGUCCAUGCAGUGUGUUUACAUGUGUUUGUAUAAGCCAUGUUAACUUGCAGUUAUAGAUGUAAUGAUCAUGUGGGGUGCAAUAUAGCCAUGUUGUUUAAUAUCAGUAGUAUAAUGUGUGUUUGGGGAUUUGUGAUUUCUGCAGGGUAUGGACCCAG